CGUAUUUCAAAAUUUAUCGCUUGCUCUUCUCCAGAUACAUCUACUAUUUUUUUUUCUUUGUUUUUUCCCAUUUUUUUCGAUUUUGAAGGCGAUCGUCCUCUUUUCAAAUGAGUUUUUCCUUUUUUGUCAGUUUUCUGAAGAGAUACAGUUUGUGUUUCGGCGAUUCUUCUCUUGAUUCUGUUUCAUUUUUAUUGCUUCUGCCGAUUAUCUUUUUUCUGGAAGGAAGUGGAAGUAGAAUAUAAUUCUUUUCUAUCAAGCAGGAAUUCGUCCACACCCAGAUGACAAAAAGCAAAGGCUGACGAAAAUGGAUCUCAAUCCACGGCAGGUCUAAGUUCUGGUUCCAAAUCUGAUGAAUCCAGAUGAAGAGGGAAAUCUUUUGAAGAAUCUGAAAGUAGUCUAUGAAGAGAAGUCAAGACGUCAAUGCUGAUUCUCCAAUUGUUUCUGAGUUUGAUUAUGUUUCUGGAUUGAAGUGACAUAAUUGUUUUCUACCAAGGAGUGCCAUCCAUCUGCUACAAAAUGCAAAUGAAGAAUCGAAAAACUGAAGAGAGAGCCUUAUGGAAUGUUAAUUUGAUUGUAUUGUGUAAAAUUGUAGAAUAUUUUUUUUGUUUUUUUGUUUUAUUUUGGUAGAAACAAUUGUAGAAUAAUUGUAAAUAUAAAGGAUUGUAGAUUUUGUGUGGGUUUGGGAGGAAGAAGACUACCGGGGGAUUACCAAGUCUCUUCCUCUCUCUCUUCUGUGGGUGUGUGUCCCCUCUCUUUCUCUCUUUCACUUCUCCAAUCUUUCAUUUCCUUCUGUCUUGCUUUCUUUUUUUCCUUCCUCAAUAACCCGUCCUGACUUUUUUUCUGUUUUCUCUUUGCCUUUAUUUCUCUAUUUUCUCUUUUAUUCAUCUCUUUUACUUCCUCUCUCCACUUUUUUUUCUCCUUUUCUCUGUCUAUUUAUUUCUACUGCUCUUUGUUUUAGUUAUCUUC